rnacentral:lncRNA from 1 species
GCUUCUGUGGGAACUGUUAUUAUGUGGAAACUGGAUAAUGUUUGAUCUUAAACCGAAUAUUGUAAUUUUGUUUGACUGCUUUCUGCUUAACCUGAGAGCUGUUCUGGUUAGCAGAUGAAUUUGAAUCAUAAAUUAGGCAGCAGACUUACAGCUAAUCUUGAGCAUUAGAUUCCACCCAUAAGAUUGGAUGGUUUUCGUGAAGUGAUUUUAUUGCUUUGUGUCCUUCCCUGUUCUUUGUUUUAUAAUUAUUGUAGUUUCUNCAUGGAAAACCUAAAUAAAGGGAUUUGUUCUUGCCCAAGUGCAAGUAAAUUUGCUUUGGAGUCUACUUAAUCAUCACUGUUAGCUGUUAAAUUAUUUUUUUCCCCACAAAGUGGUAGGGCACUGAGAUCCGCCCUUGUGGACCAGGUUUAUGGUUGCUUGAGGAACUUAAAGCAAAAAUUCUGUAUUUUUCUGCUCAUUAGUGAUGAAAUUUGGAAAAAGAAAAUAGAAGAGGUACCCUUAUUUAUAUGGAAAACAUGUAUAGGGGGAGUUGUUCUUGCCUAAGUGUAAGUAAAAAUUUGCUUUGGAGUCUACUUAUUUAUCACUAUUAGCUGUUAGGAUAAUUUCCCCCCACAAAGUGGUAGGGCACUGAGAUCCGCCCUGGUGGAAUAGGUUUAUGGUUGCUUGAGGAAUGCCUAAGCUUCAAGAGGAGGCUUAAUUUUUAAUUGUUUGCCCAAUAGCAGAGAUCUGACAGUGUAUGUGCAGUGCAGUCGUGCAGAGGCAUCAUUUAGUUCAAAUUUAAAGAAAAACAAAUUUUUUAAUAUAAGCUCUAUGGCUUAAAUUUCUUUUCUCCUGCCCCUUUCUUUUAUGUUGUUAACCUUUGAUUGCAACUAAUUUUUUCUUCACCGAUGCUUUCAGGUUUCUGUUGAGGAUUCACCAAGGGAAGUAUUUGCCCACGUUUCAGCCUCCAGAUGCUGGGAAAUGGUAAGAGAUAGAGUUAAUCAGGAGAUCGCAAAGCAACACAAGUUGGGAAAACCAAAGCUUCCACCUCUGCAGCCCCCAGGAAGCCUUGACGGUGUGGAAAUGUUUGGUUUGACUUCGCCAGCUAUUGUGCAGGUAAAAGCUUCUGUGGGAACUGUUAUUAUGUGGAAACUGGAUAAUGUUUGAUCUUAAACCGAAUAUUGUAAUUUUGUUUGACUGCUUUCUGCUUAACCUGAGAGCUGUUCUGGUUAGCAGAUGAAUUUGAAUCAUAAAUUAGGCAGCAGACUUACAGCUAAUCUUGAGCAUUAGAUUCCACCCAUAAGAUUGGAUGGUUUUCGUGAAGUGAUUUUAUUGCUUUGUGUCCUUCCCUGUUCUUUGUUUUAUAAUUAUUGUAGUUUCUCUUUCAUUGUUCUUGCUGAAAGUCCUUUCUCUGGUUGGCAG